GUGAAUCAUCAAAUCUUUGAACGCAAAUUGCACUCUCUGGUAUCCCGGAGAGUAUGCCUGUUUGAGGGUCAGUUUAAAUAAAAAUCGGUGCGGUUGCUGCCUUUCGUGGUGACGCACCGGAUUUGGGUCGUCUUGCCUUCGGUUAAGUGACCUAAAAUUUGGAUGAUGUUUUUCGGAAGGAAUUAAAUGAAUUUAAGUAAGGUUGCGAUAACGAAAAA
rnacentral:misc_RNA from 1 species